CCUACGGGGGGCAGCAGUGAGGAAUAUUGGUCAAUGGACGCGAGUCUGAACCAGCCAAGUAGCGUGAAGGAUGACUGCCCUAUGGGUUGUAAACUUCUUUUAUGUGGGAAUAAAGUGUUCCACGUGUGGGCUUUUGUAUGUACCAUAUGAAUAAGGAUCGGCUAACUCCGUGCCAGCCGCCGCGGUAAUACGGAGGGUCCGAGCGUUAUCCGGAAUUAUUGGGUUUAAAGGGAGCGUAGGCGGGUUUUUAAGUUAGGUGUGAAAGUUUGCGGCGCAACCGGAAAAUUGCAGUGGAAACUGGCAGUCUUGAGUACAGUAGAGGUGGGCGGAAUUCGUGGUGUAGCGGUGAAAUGCUUAGAUAUCACGAAGAACUCCGAUUGCGAAGGCAGCCCACUGGACUGCUACUGACACUGAGGCUCGAAAGUGUGGGUAUCAAACAGGAUUAGAUACCCUAGUAGUC
rnacentral:rRNA from 1 species